rnacentral:rRNA from 1 species
UACGAAGGGGGCUAGCGUUGCUCGGAAUCACUGGGCGUAAAGCGCACGUAGGCGGGCUCUUAAGUCGGUGGUGAAAUCCUGGAGCUCAACUCCAGAACUGCCUCCGAUACUGGGAGUCUUCGAGUCCGGGAGAGGUGAGUGGAACUGCGAGUGUAGAGGUGAAAUUCGUAGAUAUUCGCAAGAACACCAGUGGCGAAGGCGGCUUCCUGGCCUGCAACUGACGCUGAGACGCGAAAGCGUGGGGAGCGAACCGG